rnacentral:rRNA from 1 species
CCUACGGGGGGCAGCAGUGAGGAAUAUUGGUCAAUGGACGAGAGUCUGAACCAGCCAAGUAGCGUGAAGGAUGACUGCCCUAUGGGUUGUAAACUUCUUUUAUAUGGGAAUAAAAUGUUCCACGUGUGGGAUUUUGUAUGUACCAUAUGAAUAAAGAUCGGCUAACUCCGUGCCAGCAGCCGCGGUAAUACGGAGGAUCCGAGCGUUAUCCGGAUUUAUUGGGUUUAAAGGGAGCGUAGGUGGAUUGUUAAGUCAGUUGUGAAAGUUUGCGGCUCAACCGUAAAAUUGCAGUUGAAACUGGCAGUCGUGAGUACAGGAGAGGUAGGCGGAAUUCGUGGGGUAGCGGUGAAAUGCUUAGAUAUCACGAAGAACUCCGAUUGCGAAGGCAGUUCACUGGACUGCAACUGACACUGAGGCUCGAAAGUGUGGGUAUAAAACAGGAUUAGAUACCCGAGUAGUC